GCGGAGUGGCGGACGGGUGAGUAACACGUGGGGAACCUAUCCAUCAGCGGGGGAUAACACUUGGAAACAGGUGCUAAUACCGCAUACGGNCUUUUUUUCACCUGAAAGAAAGCUCAAAGGCGCUUUAUAGCGUCACUGAUGGCUGGUCCCGCGGUGCAUUAGCCAGUUGGUGAGGUAACGGCUCACCAAAGCAACGAUGCAUAGCCGACCUGAGAGGGUGAUCGGCCACACUGGGACUGAGACACGGCCCAGACUCCUACGGGAGGCAGCAGUAGGGAAUCUUCGGCAAUGGACGCAAGUCUGACCGAGCAACGCCGCGUGAGUGAAGAAGGUUUUCGGAUCGUAAAGCUCUGUUGUCAGCAAAGAACAGGAGAAAGAGGCAAUGCUUUUUCUAUGACGGUAGCUGACCAGAAAGCCACGGCUAACUACGUGCCAGCAGCCGCGGUAAUACGUAGGUGGCAAGCGUUGUCCGGAUUUAUUGGGCGUAAAGCGAGCGCAGGCGGUGAUUUAAGUCUGAUGUGAAAGCCCCCAGCUCAACUGGGGAGGGUCAUUGGAAACUGGAUCACUUGAGUG
rnacentral:rRNA from 1 species